GGAGAUUUAAAUAUUUUCAAUAGAUUUCCAGGAAUUUUUUUUGUAUACUCUGCAAUUUCAGGAUAUUCAGUUAUAAUGGCUUAAUACUUAACAGCAACUGGACAGAUCCUCAUGGAGAGAGAGCAUAAAGGAAGGGUCAAAGAUUGCAGAUGUCAUACACAACAGAAGCAGAAAGAAGGGUGAAAAUGCAACGGCGCCUGGUGAUUAUAUAUGCCCAACCUGCGA